rnacentral:rRNA from 1 species
GAUUGACAGGAAGUAUCGUCUUUUGAAAUCUUUAAGUACAUGUCGUUUCUAAUGACAUCUUUUAGAUGAAUGAUUCGUGUAAAUAUGCUAGUUCUUUCAUGAUUAUGUGAUAGGUGGUGCAUGGCCGUUCUUAGUUCGUGGAGUGAUCUGUCUGCUUAAUUGCGUUUCACUAUGGCCCCAAAGUUAGCAAGUUAUCCAAUCAUGACCUUCGUCGACCCCUCACCUUUGAGUGCGCGUCCUAGCUUAGAGUACAUGGUGUAAAUGGACUUGUUUUGGGUACCCAGAAAGCAACGAAGUGACCGCAACGUCUUGUUGUCUCUCUUUGACAGUUAUGGGUUAUCCCAG